UUGAACUUGAAGCUGAGAUUUACAUUUUUGAAAUGUGUGCCCGUAGCACACAGUUACAGGUCUAGGCUCCCAGAAAUGGCCAGCGAGUGUCUCAUAAUACCCAAAUCUCAGAAUAUUUCUUUCUUUCUCAACUUUAGGAAAAGAAGCUGUGACCCUGAUUCUGCUUCGUAGCCUGAGUCCCGACUCCAGAGACAAAGGACUUCUUCAGUAAGACAGAAAAUUAUUUGAGGGAUGUUUAUUUCCUUCUAACUCUACGUGAGGUCAGCAAGAGACCAGAGGAAGGAGCAGGGUUAUCAAUAGAAAGGGUGAGUUAAAGGAUGAACAAGGCCACCGUGAAUCCAACCUCAGGCUUGGGAACUUCUGAAGGCCCCUAAGGAAGCCUCACAUUUCUUGAUUCUGCAGCUGGUUGACCAAUUAGAACUUCUGUGACUUGGGAGGCAACCAUGUUGCAGACAGAAUGCCAGCAUCCUACCACUAUCAGGUCUCACCUUCCUCAAACUAUAAAAUGGGAUUGCAUUGCCUACUGCGCUGAGUCACCAUGGAGAUGAACUUAAAUGAGAAAAUCCACGUGCUAUGAACACUGGAGAGACUACAAUGCUCUGCAGGUGUAUUGCAUGAUAGAAGAUGUGGGAAGUCCUUGUCCAGAAGAAAGGUCCCGAAACCAGCUACAAAAGCUAAAUGUAAAACACAUUGUUUGUUGGUCAAAUUGCAGAAAUGUUAGACUCUUCCUCUUGCCUUCUGCUCAGCUCCUCC